UACGUAGGUGGCAAGCGUUGUCCGGAUUUACUGGGCGUAAAGAGCGCGCAGGCGGUCGUCCAAGUCGAAUGUGAAAGCCCCCGGCUCAACUGGGGAGGGUCAUUCGAUACUGUUCGACUCGAAGGCAGGAGAGGGAAGUGGAAUUCCGGGUGUAGUGGUGAAAUGCGUAGAGAUCGGCAGGAACACCCAGGGGGAAACCAGCUGCCUGGGCAAGCGCUGACGCUGAGGUGCGAGAGCGUGGGGAGCGAACCGG
rnacentral:rRNA from 1 species